CUCCGGUUGAUCCUGCCAGAGGCCACUGCUAUCGGAGUUCGAUUAAGCCAUGCGAGUCGAGAGGUGAAAGACCUCGGCAUACUGCUCAGUAACACGUGGACAACCUACCCUAUGGAGGGGGAUAACCCCGGGAAACUGGGGAUAAUACCCCAUAGGCUAUAGAUGCUGGAAUGCUCUGUAGUUCAAAUGGUGAGCCGCCAUAGGAUGGGUCUGCGGCCGAUUAGGUUGUUGUUGGGGUAACGGCCCAACAAGCCUGUAAUCGGUACGGGUUGUGGGAGCAAGAGCCCGGAGAUGGAUUCUGAGACACGAAUCCAGGCCCUACGGGGCGCAGCAGGCGCGAAAACUUUACAAUGCGGGAAACCGUGAUAGGGGAACUCCGAGUGCCCGUUAAAUCGGGCUGUCCAUCUGUCUAAACAACAGGUGAAGAAAGGGCCGGGCAAGACCGGUGCCAGCCGCCGCGGUAAUACCGGCGGCUCGAGUGGUGGCCACUAUUACUGGGCUUAAAGCGUUCGUAGCUGGUUUGUUAAGUCUCUGGGGAAAUCUUCCGGCUUAACCGGAAGGCGUCUCAGAGAUACUGGCAGACUUGGGACCGGGAGAGGUGAGAGGUACUUUAGGGGUAGGAGUGAAAUCCAGUAAUCCUUGAGGGACCACCUGUGGCGAAGGCGUCUCACCAGAACGGCUCCGACAGUGAGGGACGAAAGCUGGGGGAGCAAACCGGAUUAGAUACCCGGGUAGUCCCAGCUGUAAACGAUGCGCGUUAGGUGUAUCGGGGGUCUGAACCACCGAUAUGUCGAAGAGAAAUCGUGAAACGUGCCGCCUGGGAAGUACGGUCGCAAGGCUGAAACUUAAAGGAAUUGGCGG
rnacentral:rRNA from 1 species